rnacentral:rRNA from 1 species
GACGUAGGGCGCGAGCGUUGUCCGGAUUUAUUGGGCGUAAAGAGCUCGUAGGCGGCUUGUCGCGUCUGCCGUGAAAGUCCGGGGCUCAACUCCGGAUCUGCGGUGGGUACGGGCAGACUAGAGUGAUGUAGGGGAGACUGGAAUUCCUAGUGUAGCGGUGAAAUGCGCAGAUAUCAGGAGGAACACCGAUGGCGAAGGCAGGUCUCUGGGCAUUAACUGACGCUGAGGAGCGAAAGCGUGGGGAGCGAACAGG